rnacentral:rRNA from 1 species
GAUUAGCCUUAGUAACGGCGAGUGAAGCGGCAAAAGCUCAAAUUUGAAAUCUGGCACCUUCGGUGUCCGAGUUGUAAUUUGAAGAAGGUAACUUUGGAGUUGGCUCUUGUCUAUGUUCCUUGGAACAGGACGUCACAGAGGGUGAGAAUCCCGUGCGAUGAGAUGCCCAAUUCUAUGUAAAGUGCUUUCGAAGAGUCGAGUUGUUUGGGAAUAAA